rnacentral:lncRNA from 1 species
UCCAGCAUUAUUCAAGAUGAUAGACUCUACACCGCAAAUAAAAAGCACAGAGAGGAAGAAUAUAAUGACUAUUUCAACUGUACAUAUAAUCUCAUGCAACAAUCACUCUACCUUGAAGAGAAACCACACAAAUGUGGAAAAUGUGGUAAAUGCUUCAGUACCUCCUCAAGGCUCAUUAAACACCAGAGAAUUCAUACUGGAAAGAAGCCUUACAAGUGUACCAUUUGUGACAAAUCCUAUAACCAGUGUGCAAAUCUUAAAAUACAUCAAAGACUUCAUACUGGGGAGAAACCUUACAAAUGCAAAGAGUGUGGAAAAUCAUUUCGUCAAACCUCUGUACUUAAAAGCCAUCAGAAAAUGCAUACUGGAGAGAAGCCUUACAAAUGUAAGCAAUGUGACAAAUCCUUUGCCCAUUCUUCCAGUUUUAGGACACAUCAGAAAAUCCAUACUUCUGAGGAACAUUGUAGUUGUCCAGAAUGUGGCAGGGAGUUUCAUCAGCUUUCACACUUUAGAAAACAUUACAGACUCCAUACUGGAGAGAAGCCUUACAAGUGCAAUGAGUGUGGCAGAUCCUUUACCCACUAUGCAUCAU